CAAGGAAAGCUUUUGCAAAUCGUGAAUGGAUUUCUAGUUCAUAUACUAGGAAUGUACAACUCUCAUAUGGAAAAAAAGAAUCACUCAAAAGGAUCAAAAGAUCAAAGACACAACUCAAAACAAAAGUGUCAAAUGAUCAUUCUCCAGUAGUGUAACAUCAGUCUCUAGAUUGAUAAACAUUCUUUAGCUUGUUAUACUUGAUCUUCAGCAGUAAACAUCCUUCUCCAGAAUGAUUAACAACUAUCUCCAUAAUGAUCAACAUCAUUCUCCAAGUAUGAUGACAUCAGUCUAGAAUGAUAUGAACAUUCUUCAACCUAUUGACCAUCAUUCUCCAGCUUCGUUACAUCAUUCUCUAGCUUUAUUUCAUCAUUCUCCAGCCUUAUUCCAUCAUUCUCCAACAUGUUUUGCACAAUUCAAAAUGUAGUCUUAAUCUGAAUUAAUUAAGCACAUCUUUGAG
rnacentral:lncRNA from 1 species